rnacentral:rRNA from 1 species
GACGAACGCUGGCGGCGUGCUAACACAUGCAAGUCGAACGGUAAGGCCCUUCGGGGUACACGAGUGGCGAACGGGUGAGUAACACGUGGGUGAUCUGCCCUGCACUUCGGGAUAAGCCUGGGAAACUGGGUCUAAUACCGGAUAGGACCACUGCCUGCAUGGGUGGUGGUGGAAAGCUUUUGCGGUGUGGGAUGGGCCCGCGGCCUAUCAGCUGGUUGGUGGGGUGAUGGCCUACCAAGGCGACGACGGGUAGCCGGCCUGAGAGGGUGACCGGCCACACUGGGACGGAGAUACGGCCCAGACUCCUACGGGAGGCAGCAGUGGGGAAUAUUGCACAAUGGGCGCAAGCCUGAUGCAGCGACGCCGCGUGAGGGAUGACGGCCUUCGGGUUGUAAACCUCUUUCAGCACCGACGAAGCGCAAGUGACGGUAGGUGCAGAAGAAGGACCGGCCAACUACGUGCCAGCCGCCGCAGUAA